AGUGAACGCUGGCGGUAGGCCUAACACAUGCAAGUCGAACGGCAGCACAGUAAGAGCUUGCUCUUACGGGUGGCGAGUGGCGGACGGGUGAGGAAUACAUCGGAAUCUACUUUUUCGUGGGGGAUAACGUAGGGAAACUUACGCUAAUACCGCAUACGACCUACGGGUGAAAGCAGGGGAUCUUCGGACCUUGCGCGAUUGAAUGAGCCGAUGUCGGAUUAGCUAGUUGGCGGGGUAAAGGCCCACCAAGGCGACGAUCCGUAGCUGGUCUGAGAGGAUGAUCAGCCACACUGGAACUGAGACACGGUCCAGACUCCUACGGGAGGCAGCAGUGGGGAAUAUUGGGCAAUGGGCGCAAGCCUGAUCCAGCCAUACCGCGUGUGUGAAGAAGGCCUUCGGGUUGUAAAGCCCUUUUGUUGGGAAAGAAAAGCAGCAGGUUAAUACCCCGCUGUUCUGACGGUACCCAAUGAAUAAGCACCGGCUAACUUCGUG
rnacentral:rRNA from 1 species